UCCUUGGUAGCUCAGAUGGUAAAGCGUCUGCCUACAAUGCGGGAGACCCGGGUUCGAUCCCUGGGUUGGGAA
rnacentral:tRNA from 1 species